UCCGUUGGUGAACCAGCGGAGGGAUCAUUAUCGAAGUUACUCUUCAUACCCAUUUGUGAACACUACCCCAUUGCCGCGUGUUGCCUCGGCGGUGAGGUCCGCGGGGGGCGGGCUGCGCUCCGGCGCCGCCCCCCCUCCCGGGCCCCCGCCGGCCGCGCCUUACUCUUAAUUUGCAAAGCGGACUGUACGAUCUGAUUAAUCUUGAUAAACAAGUCAAAACUUUCAACAACGGAUCUCUUGGUUCUGGCAUCGAUGAAGAACGCAGCGAAAUGCGAUAAGUAAUGUGAAUUGCAGAAUUCAGUGAAUCAUCGAAUCUUUGAACGCACAUUGCGCCCGGCAGCAAUCUGCCGGGCAUGCCUGUCCGAGCGUCAUUUCUCCCCUCGAGCGCGGUUGGCCCCUAGCGGGCCGGCCGCCGCCCGGUGUUGGGGCACUGCGGGCCACAGCGCCCGCAGGCCCUCAAAUGAAGUGGCGGUCCCGCCGCGGCGCCCCCUGCGUAGUAGUAAAGCACCUCGCAUCGGGUCCCGGCGAAGACCAGCCGUCGAACCUAUCUCUUGAU
rnacentral:sRNA from 1 species